ensembl:lincRNA Gm29242 predicted gene 29242
CCUAUAGUUGGCUGCAUUACUUCAGAGCUGUUUUUUAAGCUUGCAAGUUUCCAAGCACCAACUGAGAAAUUCCUGAUGCCCUAUUCUCUUGCCUUACUAAAAUGUACAAGAAACUUGCAGAGUUCAACCCUUUAGGCUUAAAAUCUGUCAUUCUAAGUGAAUUUUAAUGUGUACUGAAAAAAGGGCAGCACAGCUGAAGGCUGAUUGAAAAUCUGAUCUUCUCCCUAAUGUCACAAGGACAUCCUGAGACAAUGACUGAGGAGCUAUCCACCAGUACCCAGCUGGAUUUCUGAUGCUUUCAUUGGCAAAUACAUUAUCAACAGAGACAUUGAUUUAGAGUGAAUUAAAGAAAUUGUAAAGAGCAAGAUGAAUUCAGUGCAGCCUCCCAAAGGACUGUUCAAAGAUCUCCAGGAUGAUUUUUUUUUAACCCAUCAUUCUUUCCUUCAUGUGAGACGGUCA